UGAUGGAAAUGACCGCCAGCCGGGGGAUGACCACUUGGAGGAUGACCUGCAGCAGCGAGGUGCCCAGGCCGGCCAGGAUGGCCCAGGUGAGCGGCAGCGGCAGCAUGCUGUAGGUGGCGAAGAGCGUGAAGAGCACGUAGCCUAUGCCGUCGCCCAGGAGCCCGUAGCCGAGGCCUGCUGCUAGGAUCUGGGUGGUCAUGGCCACCCAGGUGACCACGCCGCUGUACUGCAGACUUACAAAAGAGGUAGAACAUAUAUGCUUCCCAUUAUGCGAGAAAGAAACAGGCCUGAGAGUCUAAUGGAUUACUCAAGUCUAUGCUGCCAAGGAAGAACAGAAUCUUUAGUUUGAAAACUCCCCGUUCGGACCACGCUGGGUUGCAUACCCAAUCAUUAUAGCCAAAAUUCCAGUCUCUACUUUAAUCCUUUACAUCUUUCAAAAGCUGAUAUCCGUAUGAAGGACCAUAAAUCCUCCUUAAUAUCCUUGUGGAUGAUGGAAAGACUAGAAGAUAUCAUGUGUUUUACAAAUUGAAGGUUUGUGGAAACCCUGCAUAAAGCAAGUCUGUUGGUGACAUUUUCCCAACAGCAUUUGCUCACUUUGUGUUUCUGUGUCACAUGACCCUCCCAUGAAAUGUGGGAAUUAUGGGAACAACAAUUCAACAUGAGAUUUGGGUGGAGACACAGCCAAGCUAUAUCAGCACUACAGCUAGGAGCACAUCAAAACAUGGAUCAGAUCCCAUCCUUCUCCUGCUUAAAGCCCU